AUAGCUCAGUUGGUAGAGCAGAGGACUGAAAAUCCUCG
rnacentral:tRNA from 26 species